rnacentral:rRNA from 1 species
GGGUUGUGAGGUUAAGCGACUAAGCGUACACGGUGGAUGCCCUGGCAGUCAGAGGCGAUGAAGGACGUGCUAAUCUGCGAUAAGCGCCGGUAAGGUGAUAUGAACCGUUAUAACCGGCGAUUUCCGAAUGGGGAAACCCAGUGUGACUCGUCACACUAUCAUUAACUGAAUCCAUAGGUUAAUGAGGCGAACUGGGGGAACUGAAACAUCUAAGUACCCCGAGGAAAAGAAAUCAACCGAGAUUCCCCCAGUAGCGGCGAGCGAACGGGGAGGAGCCCAGAGCCUGAAUCAGCAUGUGUGUUAGUGGAAGCGUCUGGAAAGGCGCGCGAUACAGGGUGACAGCCCCGUACACAAAAGCGCAUGUGUUGUGAGCUCGAUGAGUAGGGCGGGACACGUGGUAUCCUGUCUGAAUAUGGGGGGACCAUCCUCCAAGGCUAAAUACUCCUGACUGACCGAUAGUGAACCAGUACCGUGAGGGAAAGGCGAAAAGAACCCCGGCGAGGGGAGUGAAAAAGAACCUGAAACCGUGUACGUACAAGCAGUGGGAGCCCCACCACUAAGCCAGUGGUGAACUCCACAUACGCAUCCUUUGCUGAAGGUGCGGUUAACGGAGCGCAAGCGACGUUCAACCUCAAAAGAAGCAGAGGGGGCUUAGUGGUGG